UACAGAGGUGGCAAGCGUUGUUCGGAAUUACUGGGCGUAAAGCGCGUGUAGGCGGCUCUUCAAGUCAGGCGUGAAAGCCCCGGGCUCAACCCGGGAACUGCGCUUGAUACUGUCGAGCUAGAGUGUGGAAGGGGCGAUUGGAAUUCCGUGUGUAGCGGUGAAAUGCGUAGAUAUCAGGAGGAACACCGGUGGCGAAGGCGGGUCUCUGGGCCGAUACUGACGCUGAGGAGCGAAAGCGUGGGGAGCGAACAGG
rnacentral:rRNA from 1 species